GUUAUACACUCCAAAGUCUCAUCUAAAAGCACGCACAGCAAACUCGAUUCAUCUAAAACCUAAAGCCACCAAAACCCUACCGCUUACCCUAACAAAUCUACCUCUUUCCUCUUUUCACAUCAAUGGCGCUCCCGGUUUCAGUAGACAAAGUGAAGGAUUAUCUGUUCUCACAGUAUUACGACGAAGCCAAAUGGGAAUUGAAUAAGAAACUGUUGCGGGCUGCAGGCCUGUUUGGAGGUUCCAUUCUUGUGAUGCGCAAUUUUGGUGAUAUCAUGGCUGUCUGAAGAUAUUGCAUCAUGCUGCUGCAUCUUAAGUUCCUGAAUGUUUUUCUUCUAAUCUAGAUUUUCAUGAAACAUUGGUAGCUUUAAUUUUGGAAUUUACUUAUAGAAAUAUGAUGUAAUGCGAGGCAAAAGGAUUGCUGCGGUGAAGAAUCAAAACAUGAUGGUACAGUGAUCAGAUUCGGUUAUAAUUAUGUUUCAUCUUCUUCUUUCUUACCAGUAUUUUUUUUCCUUUCUACUGAAUCACCAAUUUCUUAUAAUAAGAAUUCAAAUACUGCGUGUGCAACGCAUCAAAUAG